CUUUGUAAUGAUGUUUUCAUCUUUCGGGACUGAUCUCGUUGAAGACAAAAAUCUCAGCUGAACAUUG